CAGGGAUUGCCCCAGUAACGGCGAGUGAAGCGGCAAGAGCUCAAAUUUGAAAGCUGGCUCCUUCGGGGCCCGCAUUGUAAUUUGCAGAGGAUGCUUCGGGAGCGGCCCCCAUCUAAGUGCCCUGGAACGGGCCGUCAUAGAGGGUGAGAAUCCCGUAUGGGAUGGGGUGUCCGCGCCCGUGUGAAGCUCCUUCGACGAGUCGAGUUGUUUGGGAAUGCAGCUCUAAAUGGGUGGUAAAUUUCAUCUAAAGCUAAAUAUUGGCCGGAGACCGAUAGCGCACAAGUAGAGUGAUCGAAAGAUGAAAAGCACUUUGAAAAGAGAGUUAAAAAGCACGUGAAAUUGUUGAAAGGGAAGCGUUUGCGACCAGACUCGCCCGUGGGGUUCAGCCGGCACUCGUGCCGGUGUACUUCCCCGCGGGCGGGCCAGCGUCGGUUUGGGCGGCCGGUCAAAGGCCCUCGGAAUGUAACGCCUCUCGGGGCGUCUUAUAGCCGAGGGUGCC
rnacentral:rRNA from 2 species